AGUACUGUGAAGGAAAGGUGAAAAGGACCCCGGGAGGGGAGUGAAAGAGAACCUGAAACCCUGUGUUUACAAGCUGUCGAAGCACGCAAGUGCAACGGCGUACUUUUUGUAGAACGGUCCGGCGAGUUAUGAUGAGUGGUAAGGUUAAGGACUUAAGGUCCGGAGCCGAAGCGAAAGCGAGUGUUAAAAGCACGGUUGAAUCGCUUAUCAUAGACCCGAAACCGGGUGAUCUAUCCAUGUCCAGGUUGAAGCUGCCGUAAGAGGUAGUGGAGGACCGAACACACAUCCGUUGAAAAGGGUGGUGAUGAGGUGUGGAUAGGGGAGAAAUUCCAAUCGAACCCGGAGAUAGCUGGUUCUCCUCGAAAUAGCUUUAGGGCUAGCCUCUGGUUAGUCUGCCGCAGGUAGAGCACUGAAUUUCCUAGGGGGCGUCAAAGCCUACCGAAGAAUAUCAAACUGCGAAUGGCGGACAGAUGAUGCCAGGGAGUCAGACUGCACGAGAUAAGUUGGGUGGUCAAAAGGGAAAGAGCCCAGACCUACAGCUAAGGUCCCAAAGUGUGUGUUAAGUGGAAAAGGAUGUGGGAUUUCGAAGACAACUAGGAUGUUGGCUCAGAAGCAGCCACACAUUCAAAGAGUGCGUAAUAGCUCACUAGUCGAGAGGUCCUGCGCCGAAAAUGUCCGGGGCUAAAACACAACACCGAAGCUUAGGAAUUCUAAUGAAUUGGUAGAGGAGCAUUGAAGACGGAACGAAGCCAUACCGAAAGGAAUGGUGGACUGUCUUGAAGAGAGAAUGCCGGAAUGAGUAGCGAGAUUGAAGUGAGAAUCUUCAAGGCCGAAUAUCUAAGGUUUCCAGGGUAAAGCUGAUCUGCCCUGGGUAAGUCGGGGCCUAAGGCAAGGUCGAAAGACGUAGUCGAUGGAUAACAGGUUGAAAUUCCUGUACUGCAUCAAAUCAGAAAUGUGGGGACACAUGAGGGAAGCAUGAGCCGGAAAAGGAAAGUCCGGUACAAGCGCAGCAGAGGACAGAUAGGCAAAUCCGUCUGUCAACUCAAGGGCGCGAUGUGGAGCGAACCAAAGUAGCGAAGCAUGUGGAGCUUGUGUCGAGAAAAGCCGCUAUUGUGUUUGAUGUACCCGUACCGUAAACCGACACAGGUGGAUGAGGAGAGAAUCCUAAGGCCGGCGGGAGAAGCAUUGUUAAGGAACUCGGCAAAAUGACCCCGUAACUUCGGGAGAAGGGGUGCUCCAGAGAUGGAGCCGCAGAGAACUGGCCCAAGCAACUGUUUAGCAAAAACACAGGUCUAUGCAAAACCGAAAGGUGAGGUAUAUGGGCUGACGCCUGCCCGGUGCUGGAAGGUUAAGAGGAGAUGUUAGCCGCAAGGUGAAGCAUUGAAUUUAAGCCCCAGUAAACGGCGGCCGUAACUAUAACGGUCCUAAGGUAGCGAAAUUCCUUGUCGGGU
rnacentral:rRNA from 1 species